CAUCACAGCCAUGUCGCCCUGCAGCCCAAGACCGGUUACUCACUGAAGCUAAGCAGGGCUGAGCCUGGUCAGUACCUGGAUGGGAGACUACUAGUGAACACUAGGUUGCUGUUGGAA
rfam:Danio rerio chromosome 16, GRCz11 reference primary assembly.